rnacentral:tRNA from 1 species
GCCCGGAUAGCUCAGUCGGUAGAGCAGCGCACUGAAAAUGCGCGUGUCGCUGGUUCGAUUCCGGCUCCGGGCACCA